UUAUAAUAAAUUUAGUGAGAUGGAGUUUUUGCAGUGCAAAUAUUUCAGAGAAGACCACUGAGCUAUUACAGGCCUUUUCCACCAACAGGGAACGGGUUCUUGAAGCUUUGUGCCAUCUGGAGUACCAGUGCUCCUUUCCACCAGUUUUAAGUGGAGCCGUUGUCAUUGAAGACAUCAUGAAAGCAGGAUCACGGUUGGCUUUGCAAAACUGGCAAAACGUUUUGUUGUAGCUGUGAAGCAACUUACAAUCAGAUUUUUAGACCAAAUG